UUCAUUGUCAAAUUUUAAAAUCUCUCCUAAAUCUUAGCUGGUUCUGAAUCGUUUGAGUCAGGUAUUACAUCUAUAAUUGAGUUAAGCGUAAUACAAGCGAUUUCGAGUUUAUCCGGAAUCCUGCAAAAAAAAAUUCCGCUGACUUCCGAUGUUUCUCAAAUGUUCCUAUUUAUAUAACCAUGUUUACAUUUAUCUUAUGUAGGUCACGUAAUUCAUGCUAUUACAAAUAAUCACCGAACACAUGUGUAUACUCCCUCAAAAAGUUCAUCUUGAAACUUGCUAAAAUGAAUCAAGAGAUCAGCAAUGCUAAAUCUUUUUGGUGACAGGGGUAUUUUGAUUUUUAAAUACUAUGAAUAAUAAAUUAACUUAUUGUAUUUUGAAAGUAGUGACCUAAUUCAGCGGCUAUAUAUACAUUUCUGUAUACACAACAUUUCUGUAUAUACACAUUCCUACAACUCAUAUAGAAAAUUGACAUGGAAAAGGGAGUUGUAAUCGACCCUUGACGAAAGUUUUUUUCGUUUACGUGAAUAUCGUCACGAAGUUUGUACAUUUUUCCUAUUUCAGUCAAGUUUAUGUAACUACAUUUUCCUAACUAGGUCAGGUUUAUGUAACUAAAUAUAUCCACCAAUAGGAAAGCAUAUGAUCGGAAAAUUACGAACCUAACUUCUGUCGUCGGAAAGGAGAAUUACUAUUCGUGACUUUUUUGCACUGACUAGAAGAAGACCUAUAUAAACCUUUGGUUAAAUUUCGCACGUAAAAUUAAUAACGUACUGAUUGAUAUUGAUUUUCAUUAUAUGUGCAUCAAUGCGCAUUGCAGAUUUUCCUAUUUAUGUUUCUGUAUUAUUGAUUUUUUA
rnacentral:lncRNA from 1 species